rnacentral:lncRNA from 10 species
AUGUGCUUCAAGAAGGGACUAGAAAAAUCUUUAGUGCUUGCUUUCCUACCACCUGAUGAGCAUUUCUGGAGAGGACACUGGCAUAAAACUGCCACAUAUUAGACCAUCUGUGAACCAGAGACAGGAAACAAUAGACAGCAAACAGAAACAAUCAGACAAAAAUGCAAAUAAAAUGCUGCCGAGCAAGAAAUAAAAUCUUUAAAACCAAAAUAAUUGGCUUAGGAUAAAGUAAGCUCACAGAGGGAAAGAGCUGGCAUAGAACAAAGCAGAGGCGGCUUCUAUGUGCACUCCUGCCAGGCAGAGGGGCAGCAAGGGACAGCGAGAGCUGUGGCACUCUCCCGAGGACAUGCUCAGGAGUGAGGCCAACAGCGAAGGAUGAUGAACUCCCGAUCAGACCCAUUCAGAUGGAAACGAACAGACAAAUCCACAUGCCUGGGUAAGACUAAGACUUCUUGGAUAUUGGCCCCUGGCUCUGUUCUCCUCCAGCACUUUGUCUGCAGUGUGAACCACAUUCCCAGUUGUGGUAAAACAGCCGUUCUUAGAUCACAUCUGUAUAGGAUGGGGACUUUUGAGCACUUUCCUAAACCCUGUUUCCCCCAACACCGGACUUUAUACACAUCUGUAAAACAGAUGGUGAUCAUGCUCACAUCUAAGUGCAAUCGUACCAGCUGGCAUCAAUAUGAAUAUAGGAAAUAAAAGCAAUAAGGCCUGUAUUUAAUAAGCCUCUGACCUCAUGCACUGUCCCCCUCUUUCAUCUUCUUUUACUUUUUUUUUUUUGAGACGCAGUCUCGGUCUGUUGCUCAGGCUGGAGCACAGUGGCGCAAUCUUGGCUCACUGCAAUCUCUGUCUCCCAGGAUCAAACAAUUCUCCCACCUCAGCCUCCCGAGUAGCUGGGAUUACAGGCAACGGCCAUCAUGCCCGGCUAAUUUUUGUAUUUUUGUAGAGACGGGGUUUCACUAUGUUGACCAGGCUGGUCUUGAACUCCUGACCUCCUGCCUCGGCCUCCCAAAGUGCUGGGAUUUCAAGCGUGAGCCACCGCACUCAGCCUUCUUUUACAUUUUUGCCAGCACUUGAUGCCAGGAACUCUGUCUGCUGCCAAUUUCUAUUGGGAAUGGAAGCCCCAUUAUCACAGGGGGCCGUCCAGGUGGAGCCAGGCAGCAAAACCGUGCGCUUUCUGGGAGCCCUCCAGGAAGGACGGACAGACCUGGCGCAGGCGCCAGCCUGGCCCUGCUGCCCCAGACUCCCAGGAAUACCUACCAUUUCCUUGAAUGCACUUUCAAGCGCUCCGAUGACCAGGCACUCAUGGGGAAUCUUC